GCAAACUGAGCGGAUGUGUGCGAGCGAGAGAGCGAGCGAACGAGCAGCAAUAGCAACAGCAAAAGUGAGCACAGUGAUAUUGCAGGCGAGCGCUGUUGCUGAGUGCGCGUGUGUGAAUGCGAGAGAGCGAAUGUAUGCGGUUGUCUGUGUGUGUGUGUGUGAGUGUGUGUGUUAGUGUGUGGCAUGACAAAGCUAACGAACUUGUCAGCCUGAAAUCCACACAGAGAGAGAGAGAGAGAGCGAGGGCGAGAGAGAGAGAGCAGGAGAAUAUAUACAAAGUGCGGAACGCAGAACAGCGUGGCAUAGGGUAAAUCAAAGUUAAUGCCAAAAGGAAACAAGACAAAACUAAAUAAAUAAUCAAGACCGACUCAGCAGAUGCUGGCCAAAUUGACGCUACAAGUGUGUGUAUUUAUGAAGUUGGCCACAGACGAAGAUGGCGAUAAAUAACCAAAACAAGACAACUGUUCCAGAAAGAGGCAGAGAGAGAAAGAGAGAGUAGCGAAUGAGAGCACGAUAAGAAACAGCAGAAUGAGAGACCUAGACAGAAAGAGAGGGAGACAGCAUGUGUGCGAUCGCUCGUUUAACGGUCAAACCACAAGGCAACAAAAACAACAAAUAUUAAAAAACCCACAGACACACACAUACAAAUACACAUACAGGCGCACUGGCAAUACCAAUGCUGGUCAAUACGUAUACGCCGCGUGGAACAAGUCUAAUACAUUGACUAAAUGUAAACUCGAGGGGUUGUUGACGUAGGUAGACAAGAGUCCACGGACAUGGAGAGGACAAACGGAACAGAUAGACAGCCAGCGAUAGCCAGAUAGCAAAAACAAAAACAAAAAACAAAAAAAAAAAACAAUAUGCUCUAUCGAACAGGUACUUCACAAAUAAGCGCGACCUGCGCUUUAUGGCUUCACGGGAACUGAUUAUCCCGUGCCAAGUGCUUAUCUAAAACACAAAAAUAAAUCAAAUAACUACACCCACAUAAUCUUAUCGACGCGUGGCGGCAGCUGUGGCCGUAGCAUGAAAUCUAAAACAACUGUAAACUGCAGAGGUAUCAAAGUCGAAAUUCUACAUGAGUCGCGCGUCGCGUCGCAGCUCAAAUUUCGCUGGGGUCUACGAAAAAACGGAGCAACCAGCAGAUAGAAGAUCAACUUAAAAGUGACCCUCGCCAAAAAUAAUGCAAUUCAGCAGCAACGCCAACGUCAACGUCCCAACUAUAAAACUAUAAACAGAACCAAACACGCACACAAAUUUGUAUUUAUAUUAUAAACAAUUGAUGUUUAUUUAGAAAGGCUAGAAAAUGUGUACAUGACGAUCAUUACCAUUAAUAAUCAUCAUCAGCAUGAUCAUUCUCUCCCUCUUUUCCAUAUUCCUAAGUCGUCGUGUUUUCUUUCCUUUUCUUUUUGACUGACAUUCAACUUUUGCAUGCGACGCAGUUUCACAUUGUUGGGAGCAGAUUUAUUCAUUUGUUGAUAUUAUUUAUAAAUAUUAAAUUUAUUUUUUAUUAUUUUGUUUCAACGGGGUUACGAGAGGGAUAGAAAAUCAUUGUCAUCGCAGAAGGUCGCGCGGCAAUUACUUGAAAAACACCUCUCCGCGACGCUCAAAAGAUUGCGUCAGUCAACAAAUGUGAACGAUAUUAAUAUGAACCAAUAACCCAUGGACAAAAUCCUCAGCAAUAUAUAUAUGUCCAUACUUAUAUAAAUACACACAUACAUAGUUAUUCGUAUACAUAUAACAAAUAAUAUUUAAACAACAUAUUGCAAACCUUUUAAAAAGUUAUUAAGUGUUCAGCUACGUUCGUUAUUUGUUGGCACAUAUUUGAGUUACCUGCUUGAGAUACAGAAAUAUUUACAUACAUACAUAUACAAUGCAGAUAAAUAUAUACAAAUGCAGAUAUAUAUGACUACAAUACAAUGCAGAUGCACGUAUAUGUAUGUAUAUGCCCAGGUAGCUCAAGUAGUAGCUGCAUGUAGAGGUUAUAGCCCUGAGAGCACUGUAUGUAAUUGCUUAAGGGAAUUUGGGAAGAUUUAUAUGAUAAUAUAAGAAAAAAAAAUUUAUAUAUAAAUGCGUAUUAUAAAUGUAAAUCAAAAUUCAAAAUUUAAAUAAGCUACACAGUGAAGCUCUUUCUACUGCCCUAAGUAGGUUUCUUUGAAAUAAUGUUUAUUUCCAAAAAUAAAAGAUUACAUAUUCAUUUGGAAUUUCCUAUAUUUGUUAUAUAUAGAAUAAUUAUCGAACUGAUAUUUCUGAAUUCAUAUAAUUAUCAUAAAUUGCUAGAAAGUUCUCUAAUUAGUUUUAUCUUUAAAUUGUAUGGCAAUUCAGCUGUCAUUAGUCGCUCGUGCAAUUAAUGAAAUGACUGAAUAUCAUUUUGGACAUAUGUAUGAUAGAUAGAUAUGAUAUAUACCGCAGAGCAACUUUGGAAACAAAUCGACUUUAAAGCCUACAACUUAUUCACAUAAAUAUUUCAACCUUAUUCCACUUUCAUAGGCAUCUACUCUUUAAAUAUUUAUAAAGGCUGCCUGGUUUUCUCAAGAACAUUUCAUAUAUAUAAAUUAAU